rnacentral:rRNA from 1 species
CAUGGCUCAGGACGAACGCUGGCGGCGUGCCUAAUACAUGCAAGUAGAACGCUGAAAGGAGGAGCUUGCUCUUCUUGGAUGAGUUGCGAACGGGUGAGUAACGCGUAGGUAACCUGCCUGGUAGCGGGGGAUAACUAUUGGAAACGAUAGCUAAUACCGCAUAAGAGUAGAUGUUGCAUGACAUUUGCUUAAAAGGUGCAAUUGCAUCACUACCAGAUGGACCUGCGUUGUAUUAGCUAGUUGGUGAGGUAACGGCUCACCAAGGCGACGAUACAUAGCCGACCUGAGAGGGGGAUAGCCCACCCUGGGACGGAGACACGGCCCAGACCCCUCCGG